CAGUCGCCGCGGGAAUACGAAGGGGGCUAGCGUUGUUCGGAUUUACUGGGCGUAAAGCGCACGUAGGCGGAUCGAUCAGUCAGGGGUGAAAUCCCAGAGCUCAACUCUGGAACUGCCUUUGAUACUGUCGAUCUGGAGUAUGGAAGAGGUGAGUGGAAUUCCGAGUGUAGAGGUGAAAUUCGUAGAUAUUCGGAGGAACACCAGUGGCGAAGGCGGCUCACUGGUCCAUUACUGACGCUGAGGUGCGAAAGCGUGGGGAGCAAACAGGAUUAGAUACCCGCGUAGUCCCUGUCUCUUAUAC
rnacentral:rRNA from 1 species